CAGCCGUAAACUAUGCUCGCUAGGUGUCAGGCAUGGCGCGACCGUGUCUGGUGCCGCAGGGAAGCCGUGAAGCGAGCCACCUGGGAAGUACGGCCGCAAGGCUGAAACUUAAAGGAAUUGGCGGGGGAGCACAACAACGGGUGGAGCCUGCGGUUUAAUUGGACUCAACACCGGACAACUCACCGGGGACGACAGCAAUAUGUAGGCCAGGCUGAAGACCUUGCCUGAAUCGCUGAGAGGAGGUGCAUGGCGUAGACGU
rnacentral:rRNA from 1 species